ensembl:rRNA 5S_rRNA 5S ribosomal RNA
GCCGGCAGCUAGCUCUCUGCAACUUUCAUUUGGUCACACAUGUUGGUUUCACAUAAAGCUAAGCAGGGAAGCGCCCAGUCAGUACCUGGAUGGGAGACCAGAUGGGAAAGCUAGAUUGCUGCUUGAA